CAGUAGCCGCGGUAAUACGGAGGAUCCAAGCGUUAUCCGGAAUCAUUGGGUUUAAAGGGUCCGUAGGUGGUCUUGUAAGUCAGUGGUGAAAGCCCAUCGCUCAACGGUGGAACGGCCAUUGAUACUGCAGGACUUGAAUUAUUGGGAAGUAACUAGAAUAUGUAGUGUAGCGGUGAAAUGCUUAGAGAUUACAUGGAAUACCAAUUGCGAAGGCAGGUUACUACCAAUUGAUUGACGCUGAUGGACGAAAGCGUGGGUAGCGAACAGGAUUAGAUACCCCUGUAGUUCCUGUCUCUUAUAC
rnacentral:rRNA from 1 species